UCGCCAUAAAAUGAACACUAAAAUUCCCAGCUCUCUUCUGCUACAAAUGGAAAUUAGCAGAGAAAAAUGAGUUUAAUCUAGUCGAUCAAGGUGUAUAUAAGAGAAUUCAAGGCCUGAAGCACCCGAUCUCCCGGCGUUCAAUGGGCGGAUUCAAGACUCCUCUGGCCGAACGGGCUGAAUCCGGCAAGCCUUAUCAGGGGAUGCAGGUUACUGACAGUAAAGUACAGCAAGCAGAGAAGAAGACUGCAGUAGCCAUUGAUAAUAAAAUCAAGCACAGGGAAAAUGAGAAGGUUGAGAUUCUCAAACACAUCAUCUGGAGAGGAAGAAGAGGAGAAAAGAGUUUUCUGGUUAAGAACCAAAAGUUUUGGCCUAAAUUUGGGGUUGACUUGUAGUAUGCUGUGCAGGAAGAAAGUGAAGUAAUGAAGUUUCUGGGUUUUUGAUCUGCUGUUUUGGGUGCAUGAGAAGUGAGGAAGAAUAAUUGGAUAUGAGGUUGGUAUAUAUAGAGAUGGUAAAGUAAACAAUCAGUAAGCCAUUGUACAUAUUACUGAUGUUAUAUUGUUAUCAAUUAUUAUAUGGUUACUGUCAUUAAUGAUAUUAAUAUUUGAUUUGCCACUGAAAACAUAUGAUACAUAGAUGUAAUUAUAUGUAAAAAAGUAUAUAUAUUUAUAUAUACAUUCAUCGGAAAGAAGUGCCUUUGAUAUAUUCUAAUGGAACUUUUAAAUAUUCCA